UACGUAGGGCGCAAGCGUUGUCCGGAAUUAUUGGGCGUAAAGAGCUCGUAGGCGGCUUGUUGCGUCGACUGUGAAAACCCGCGGCUCAACCGUGUGGUCUGCAGUCGAUACGGGCAGGCUGGAGUUCGGUAGGGGAGACUGGAAUUCCUGGUGUAGCGGUGAAAUGCGCAGAUAUCAGGAGGAACACCGGUGGCGAAGGCGGGUCUCUGGGCCAUUACUGACGCUGAGGAGCGAAAGCGUGGGGAGCGAACAGG
rnacentral:rRNA from 1 species